UGACAAAUCUAUUUAUGGCUAUCUGCAA
rnacentral:sRNA from 1 species